rnacentral:piRNA from 1 species
UGCCUGUUUACCUGGUGUCACUGGGU